rnacentral:sRNA from 1 species
GCCCUAAUUAACUUGGGGGCAUGUGCACACCUUUCUCUUUCAUCCCAUACACACCUGUGCACCUGUGAGACAGAUGUUUUCUAGGGGGGGAAGGAACUUUAAUGGAACCUUCUUUUCUUGGAAUUCUGUCUACUUAAUCUAUAUAAACUCAAUUUAUUUUAAAAUGAAUGUAAUGGAUGUAACACAUCUAAUACUAAGUUUCAACAACGGAUCUCUUGGCUCUCGCAUCGAUGAAGAACGCAGCGAAAUGCGAUAAGUAAUGUGAAUUGCAGAAUUCAGUGAAUCAUCGAAUCUUUGAACGCACCUUGCGCUCCUUGGUAUUCCUUGGAGCAUGCCUGUUUGAGUAUCAUGAAAUCUUCAAAGUCAAACCUUUUGUUAACUCAAUUGGUUCUGCUUUGGUAUUGGAGGUCUAUUGCAGCUUCACACCUGCUCCUCUUUGUGCAUUAGCUGGAUCUCAGUGUUAUGCUUGGUUCCACUCAGCGUGAUAAGUUAUCUAUCGCUGAGGACAGCCCUGUUAAAAAGGGGUGGCCAAGGUAAAUGCAGAUGAACCGCUUCUAACAGUCCAUUCAGCUUGGACAAAUAUUAAUUUUAUGAUCUGAUC